GGGUGAAAACUAAAUGAAAAUUCUACAGUUUCUUGCCCCGCUGGACAUCUUUUAAACUGUUUACUUCAGCAACUAACCAGCAGGGAUCGGUGUUAGUGCCAGCGAGGGGACGGGUGUUAAACCCGAGACUGCCGUGGCACCAACACCAUAACUUCCCGCGACAAAACCGAAACAGAACCACUUCCUCGGGGAGCGUUUGCAGGCGUAUCGGCUGUCCAAUGAACCCCGGUGCUGCUCGUAUUGGGACCCGGACAGAAUACAGUGCUGAAGACGGUCCAGAGGACAAGGACGCUGACCUUUAACAGCGAGACGUGGGUUCGAAUCCCAGCAGGU